GUGGAACAUAAAUACUUGUCUUUUUUAUAUAAAAUUUUACCUUUUUUCUUUGAUUUCUUAAAGUUGAUCAUUGCGUUGGUCUGUGCUUUUACAGGGAGGGAUUAAAGCUGUGGUGUGGACUGAUGUGUUCCAGUUGGGAAUUAUGCUCUCGGGUUUUCUGGCUGUUAUAAUCAAAGCUGUGAUCAUCCAAGGAGGAGUCUCCGUUAUCUUUUCAGAUGCACAGCAGGGAGGAAGGCUCAACUUUUGGGACUUCGAUAUGAACCCCUUGAGGAGACAUACUUUUUGGACUUUUGUCAUUGGAGGGACGAGUAUCUGCACCACUGGCUAUGGGGUGACCCCCGCUGCAGUUCAGAGAUACAUUUCCUGCAAGAGCGUCACUCAGG